AAUGAGAAAGAAUAAGCCAACAAACUGCCGGAUAAAAGAGAAGGAAAAAGAAAAAAAGAUGGCCGGUCUCAUUCUCUUCCUCAAACCCUAUCUCUUCGUCCCCAUUCCUCAUCCAGAUCCCAAGAUACUUCAAUUUCUAGUCGCCUAAACGUUGGAAUCCAUAUCAUUCUUUUCUUCCCAAGGUCAAAUUUCUCGAUCGAUUGGGUUCGUAAUUCUUUGAAUCGUAUUGUAGUCGGUUAGGCUGUUGUUUUAGGAGCUGUAUUCCAAAAGAUGAGCAGACAGUGAGAUUGGAUUCUGUUGAUGGUCGUCUCCUCCUCAAAGAAGAACGAGUUGAUGGCGAGGGAUGUUGGUUUCAGGACCCUGGCGUUCUCGAUCUGGAUAAGGUAAAGGCUGUAAUUCAUCCCUUUCAGCUUUUGAUGUGGCCUCCUAGUCCCCGACGCAUGCGUAAGCCAUUCUCAAAAUUCAAAGGUGAGAGCCUAAUUCCCCUAACACCAAAACCCCAAUUCUAAUUAGGCACUGAGGAUCCAAACCUCAAUUUCAAUUCUACAAGGUAACCAUCUCGAUUCCUCAUAGUUUUUCCACAUCAAUAUAGGAAUUAGGAUUUCCAAGAUUACCUUACUUAUAUGUACUUUGUUAAAUUUUUUAAAUUUCGUGUUCAUAGCUACUCUGCUAGUCUUUUUGGGGCGUGAAAUUGAAGAUUCCAAUGUGUUUCGCUUGAAAUUUAGAGCUCCAGGGAGAAGCCUUUUCUGUAUGAAAUUGUGGCAAAUGGGCGUAAUGGUUUGAUUAUCUUGUCCAUGGCAGCCGAGCUUGUGGGCUGGGAUGCAACUUUGAGUUUAAAAGAUUCAGAGAUAUAGAUGCCAGUGCUGGUGAUGUUGAUCCUCAUUAUAGGGCUUGUUUACAACGAUGUGAAGAAACUGGAUGUGUAGCAAGAGAUGCUUUCCACAUUGCAAUUUCUCUUCAGUUUCAGGUCCAAACCUAGCAGAAGGCGUGGGAGUAUUCACAUACUGAGUAGUUUUUGCAUUGUCUACCACUACAUAUCUGUUUAACUUUGUAUAUUUGCUUGCAAAUACAUGUUCAAAUACAAUUCCAGGUCUUGUGAUUGUUGGUUGGUGUAAGAAGGAUGGAUAUUGUAUUUUGAGAUUUUUCAAUGUAUAAUAUUUGGAGAACGUGGAACUA